rnacentral:rRNA from 1 species
AGUAUUAGAGGUCUGGUCUGCCCAGUGUAAAAAAUUAACGGCCGCGGUAUCCUGACUGUGCAAAGGUAGCAUAAUCACUUGCCCUUUAAAUGGGGGAAUGUAUGAAUGAUUAGACGAGGUUUUGACUGUCUUUUUUCUAAAAACUGAGAUUUCAGUACCUGUGAAAAUGCGGGUGAAAUCAUAAUGGACGAGAAGACCCUGUUGAGCUUUUAAGUUAUACAGCAGUAUGAAUUAAAUUAGAUAAUUCAUUAUUUAUAAAAUACACAUAUCUGGUAAGCUUUUUGGCUGGGGUGGCAAGCAAAGGAAUUAAGCUUUGUUUAUCAAUUGAAAUCUUAAUGUUUGGAGACAGUAUAUGUCAAUAAACUUAAUUUGGAUCCGCUAACUGAGCGAUUAAUAGAAUAAGUUACCACAGGGAUAACAGCGUUAUUCUUCUUGAGAGCUCGUAUUGACAGAGGAGUUUGCGACCUCGAUGUUGGAUCAAGAUUCCUGGUGGUGUAGCAGCUAUUAAGGGUUUGCCUGUUCGGCGAUUAAAAUCUUACGUGAUCUGAGUUCAGACCGUCGUAAGACAGGUUAGAUUCUAUCCUUAAAUUUAUGCGUUUAGUACGAAAGGACCAACAGCAUGUGAUUUUAAGUUUUUAUUAAAUCAUA